UACGUAGGGGCCUAGCGUUGUCCGGAUUUAUUGGGCGUAAAGAGCUCGUAGGCGGCUUGGUAAGUCAGGUGUGAAAUCUCCACGCUCAACGUGGAGGGGCCACCUGAUACUGCCAUGGCUUGAGUCCGGUAGGGGAGUGUGGAAUUCCUGGUGUAGCGGUGGAAUGCGCAGAUAUCAGGAGGAACACCAAUAGCGAAGGCAGCACUCUGGUACGUGACUGACGCUGAGACGCGAAAGCGUGGGGAGCAAACAGG
rnacentral:rRNA from 1 species